rnacentral:lncRNA from 1 species
GCAAAACUGUGUUGAAUGAACUGUAGAUGGAAAUUCUCUCCUUCCCACCGAGGAGCCGCUGCAGGUUGCAGACUCCCAGAAUGCCACACUGAGAAGAGGAGGGCUAAAAUUCUAGAGCAGAAUCCCUGGGGCAGCCCCUGCUGAAGAAGGGUGCAUCUGUUGAGAAUCUCAUCACCGCCCCCACCCCGCCCAGCCUUCAAUUUAGAGGAAUUUCUAGUUCACGCAGAAUGAAGACAAGAUCACAUAAGUGAGGACGACGCCCCAUUUACAAGUGUGAUUUGGAAGACUGAAGUGGAAACCUUGGGAAGGUGGGCCUCAGAGUAUGUCAGCUGGGGUCAGACGGGAACAGGAGUCUGGCUCAACACACAUUUAUUGCACUCCUGUUUCAUGCCAAGAAAUGUACCAAAAUCUGGGACUGUGUAACACAGCAAAGGAAAAGACUCAUCUCCAGGAAGCCCCCUUGUCUAGGAAGAGAAAUUGAAUAUCAGCAUAAGGUGGUGAAAAGCUGUGAAGGAGAUGAGUGCCAGGAGUCCAUGGAGGAAGGAUUCUAGCCUGGACAGGUGAUUGUGGUGAAUAGUCAUGAGAAUCUGGGAACUGGCUCCUGCUCUGUCUAUCUUGGAGAUGCAUCUUUUGUGAGAAGCCAGGGCAAGAAUAGGGAGGCUUAGGCAAUGGGAAGUUUCUGAGUAGAUAAAGCAGAUGGCAGAGCAAAGGGACAGAGCCUGGCGAGAGGCUACUCCCUGUAGCAACCUGCCUAAGAGUGAGAGGAAAGCAAGGCAUGGCUAUGAGCACGUGUAGUCUCAGCUACUUGGGAAGCUGAGGCUGGGGGAUCACUUGAGCCCAGGAGUUCAAGACCAGCCUAGGCAACAUAGUGAGACCAU